GUCCCCCCCACCCCGUGUCCCCUGCACUGUGUCCCCUGGGACCCUCCCCCAUUGUCCCCGACUCCCCCGGGACCCCCGCAUUGUCCCUGACACCUCCCUUCCCCCCAGGAGGAGGCGCAGCGGGACAAGACCAACGUCGUCAAAAGCACGGAUUGUCCCGAAUUCCGGGCGCGGUUCCGGCUGCGGCUGCUCCGCGGGCACCGGGGGCUGCGGAGGCUCCUGAGCUCCCGCGGGAUCAAGUUCGAGGUGACCCAGAAAGGGGGGCUGUUCCGGCCGGAGCGGGCCCUGGGCUCGGCGCAGCUGCGGCUCGAGGGGCUGGAAGGGGCGUGCGAGCUGCGGGAGCAGCUGGAGAGUACGCGGAGCACCUGGAGCGGCACCUGCGGCUCUACACGGAAGCCGCGCGGCGCCUCGGCACCCAGGGAGAGCGGGAGGCGGCCAAGGAGGCUCUGUACAAGCGGAACCUGGUGGAGAGCGAGCUCCAAAAGCUCCGUGGAUGAGUCGCGGGGCUGGGACCACGUGGGGUUCUGGGGCGGCCCAGAGGAUGGCUCCCCCUGCUUUGGGGGGCCUCUGGGAGCACCCCCCCGUGCCCACUGUGACAAUCACAGGGAUCAGAGCUGCUCCCCCCCCCCCCCCCCCCCCCCCCCCCCCCCCCCCCCCCCCCCCCCCCCCCCCCCCCCCCCCCCCC
rnacentral:lncRNA from 12 species